GACAGAAACUGGAAGCAUUGCCCAGAGAGGUAAUCAGAAGCACUAUGCUCCCAAGACUUUCCUUAACAGGUGCUCAUUUUCAUCCUGUUUUGAUGAAUGGCUACACCAGUGAAACCUGCUAUACUGAGAGGACAAAGAGCACAUAUACUUCUCUUCCCCAACCACUAUCUACCCCACCCUUUCCAUAAAGGAAUACAGGGAAAAGCUGGGUGUAUAAUCUGCUCAUGCUGAACUGAGCUGGGGAAAAGAACUAUGGCAAAUGUUUGCAAGCUCAUUCAAACCACAGACUUUUUCAAACUGUUGCUUUGAUCUCUGUAGCCUCCAUGGGCCUAAUGGAUGCUGAUCUCCAUUAGUUCUCAUAGACACGUCAGUUGAAAGCUAGUUCCUCAGGUAGCAGCUGGAAAAGUUAAGGGGAUAGAUAUGUAGAUAAAUUCCUUCCAGACUGAAGCUAGAGGCUUGCUUUUAUCAUUAGAGUGAGCAAGUGGGAGAAUUUGUGGAAAUAUCCACAUGCCUGUUUAAAAUGGCUGCUUUGUUUUCUAUAGCCCACAUGUAAAUAGUGAAUGGCAACACCAAUAGCUCUCAUAGACAGUGAGUUAGAAGCCAGACCUCAGGUAGGAGCUAGAAAACUUAGAAUGCUUGAUUUGUAGUCUAACUUCUUUCAUAGAGAAUCUGGGAACUGGGCUUUGUUGUUGUAGCUAGUUGGUGAAUGAGGAGGUGAAGUGGAGGAGAUAUGGGAAGAACCCAUUUGUUUGGGCAUUUUUUCUCAAUGUACCUUAGUUUGUCUGUAGUAGCUGGCCACAGUAGUGAUGAUUCUAUUUCCUGAGAGGUGAGAAUUGCUGCCAAAGAAUGUCUGCCAUGGAUGAGAAUACAAAGAAAGGAAACUAAGAACUCUCAAAGCAGCUACUAGAAACCCUUCAUAGAGGACAAGAAUUAUCUUCAGUUUUGAGAUAUAUGAGAAUGAUUACAACUCCUUUGAGCAGGCUUCACAUACUGCCCAAAGAUGCUUCUCUAGUUUGUGUCCUUCUUGCUAUCAGAAAGAGAGAAGGAAACUAAAUAAAACAAAAUAAAAAUUUUAGAAUUUUGUGCUGUCUUGGACAUGGAAGCAAUGGGUCAGGAUCAAGAUUGUGGAAAGAUGCCAGUUCGGAUGCAGGCUAGAAAAAUUAGUAUUGUCCUCAACUGGAAUCAGCAACCAAAAGACUAAGUGUAUGUGUCUCUGUAGGCUGAAGGGUUUUCAGAUAUCAUAAAAGAUAAGAAGUCAAGCUACACUUGUUUGGAAGCAUGUGGCAGAGAACACAGAUUAAUUGUUUAAAGGAUGGCCCAAACUUAAGGCCAAGUCACAUCAAACCCAUCAGAAACCAAAAGUGUGGCAGAAUUCCUAACAGAAGGAUGAGAGAGGAAGAGCCUUAUAUAGAUCUGUCUUCUGUUUCACAUUCUGACUAUUCUAAAGCUUUUAAUGAAGAAUUCCCUAGAGUCAUAAAACAAAGGCUAAAUGGUUUAAUCUAACUUAAAAAAAAUGUUAAAUAAAAGACAAUGAAAUUGAAGACCCCUCCUGGAGAAACUAGUGAGGAUACUAAUAUAGACUCUACCUCCUCAAAAACCUAACUUCAAAGAGAUUUUAAAGAAGUCAUCAAUUCUCUCACAUGGCAGACUGGGAUAACAUCUGUUAAUAGAGACUUAAAAAAAGACAAAUAAGAACAUCUAGGCCAGGAGCGGUGGCUCACGCCUGAAAUCCCAGUACUUUGGGAGGCUGAGGCGGGCGGAUCACGAGGUCAGGAGAUCGAGACCAUCCUAGUUAACACGUUCUGUUGCUUUCCAGGAUAUACACAUGGCUUUAACAGAGUCUAUUACUGGAAUACGGAGAAGCUAUUGAAGUAAUCCUUCAAGGCAUAAGGUCAGAACUUAGAGAAGUCACAGAGUUUGUAUUUCUGAACCUGAUUACCAGAAAAUUCUUCUAAAGCAGGAAAAGAUAUAUGCUUUCAAACUGUUAUCCUACAACCAAAUCCAUUUUGGAGACACAAGGAUCCACAAGAUUACUCACCUUCAGGAAAACAUGAAGACAAGAAAUGCUAGUCUUGGUACAACCUAAUGAAAAGACAUAGCUGAGAUUUCAUAUGAAGAUAACAUUGAGAUUGCUUAGAAAAAAAUUAUUGGAGUUAACAUUGAAAGUAACAAUGGUAUUUCUUGUCAUCCCUUUCUAAAUGGCAUAUAUGGUAUGUAAUCUAGAAAUAUGUACAUAUACAUGUAAUAGCUUACAAAGCUUCCAAUAAAAAAGACAAAAUCUCUGGAUUUUGCCAUCUAACAAAAAAAAAAAAAAAA
rnacentral:lncRNA from 1 species